GCACAGGAGCCAGAGAUGCAAGAUGACUCACCUAUAUUCUGAGGGCAGAGGCUUUAUUCAAAGGAGAAAUUCCACUUUCCUCUAGAGGGACUUAAAAUUUCGGUGAUGUCUGAAAUCUGGAAAUACCCCAAAGACCUUUAAAUAAUAUUUGGUUCGCUGACUGAUUCACACCUCCCAACCUGCUCUAAAACCUGCCUUGCCACCAAACCUGCUCCCGAAACAAGGUCUCUUUUUCAGGAACAAACUGUGAACCCCCCAGCUUUGCAAAAUAGCCCAAAAAUACUUUUUAAAAACAUGCUUGGCCCCACCAUCAUCAUCAUCUUCUUAGGAAGGUUCAAAGGUUCCAGGAUAGCUGGUUAGCUACUCUCAAUACGAUACACAUUGGCUUCAGGUGUGGUCCCGACUCCAGCACUAAGGAAAAGGCAGAGGCUCCUGAAUGUGGUGCUGAACCGGCACAGACAGCUGUGAGGGGCACAUUUCCUGGAACCCGGAAGUGAGCAGACUCUUACAAGAUCUCAUCUGGGAGGUGAGGGUGCCAGCAGCAGACAUUUUUAAUUAAACAUUGGAGUUCUGAAGAGGAUGUGUCAGAGGAAACAAAUAAACUCUCCAUGGCUGUCCCUGAGGUUCCUGACAUGCUCGUCUUGCUGGCUUUUUCCGCACAGCUCCAGGAUCUGAG